rnacentral:rRNA from 1 species
AUUGAACGCUGGCGGCAGGCCUAACACAUGCAAGUCGAACGAGUGGCGGACGGGUGAGUAAUGUCUGGGAAACUGCCUGAUGGAGGGGGAUAACUACUGGAAACGGUAGCUAAUACCGCAUACCAUUGGAUGUGCCCAGAUGGGAUUAGCUAGUAGGUGGGGUAAAGGCUCACCUAGGCGACGAUCCCUAGCUGGUCUGAGAGGAUGACCAGCCACACUGAAACGGAAGGACGGUCAAGACUCCUGCGGGAGGCAGCAGUGGGGAAUAUUGCACAAUAGGCGCAAGCCUGAUGCAGCCGUGCCGAGUGUAUGAAGAAGGCCUUCGGGUUGUAAAGUACGUUCAGCGGGGAGGCGUUACCCGCAGAAGAAGCACCGGCUAACUCCGUGCCAGCAACCGCGGUAGUUC